rnacentral:lncRNA from 10 species
AGCGCCCAGCUGGAUCCCGGAAUAACCGGUGAAGACGGCUCCCCGGAAUCCCCGCCCCUAGCGGGCUCUCCCGGACCCCCGGCCCGCGCUAGUCUUUGCCAGGAUCCCGCGCAAAGGAUCAAGCCCAGUCCCUCCUCUGACUGACAGUGCUAAACCAGCUACCUGUUCUGAGCAAGGCCCCUGAAGACUGGGAACACGAAUUUGCCCAACAGCUGCCUGGCUUAAGGGUUAGGCCGUUGAUAUAAAAAUACAUGGCUAAUGUAACCUACUACCACUCUCCCGGCUCUGUUAAGCUCCUGUCACACUAGCCUUCGUUAAGUUCCUAACCACGUCAAACUCAGCCACCUCACAGCCUUUGUAUCUGCUGUUGCUUCUGCAUGAAACACUCUCGCCUGCUCCCAGUUCCUCAUGUAGCUGGUCUCUUACUCUUCCAGAUACAGCUCAAUGUGUCUCCUUAGAAACUUUUACUCUGCCCACCCCUUCAAAAUCAGUCUGUGGCCAAAAUUGGACCAUUACAUCUGUCUGCCCCUCCCCCAACAGAUAGUGAUUGCCACUUUUCAGGUCAGAGACUGUGCCUUAUUCAUCUCUGUGACACUAGGACCCAGCCAUAGACCCUGCACAUAGUAAGUUCUCUGUAAAAGCUGGAUUACAUGAGUUAAUUCACUUGAACACUCAGAUACUAAAAACUAAUACCGGAAUAUUGGAAAAUUGACCAGAACAGUUGAAACCCUACCUAGGUUCUCCUAGACCUAUUCUCUGAGCCAGGGGUCUUAAAUUCAAAUGGCAAAAUGGGCAGGUAGGUAAUUCAAUUAAGAAAAGUAGGUAGGAGUAAUACGGAGUGGUGGGGACUGUGGAGAGCAGGCAGAAAGAUGGGCCUAGUAUUGCUGGAGUGUCAUUAAGAGAAGAUGGGGCUGGGUGCAGUGACUCAUAUCUCUAAUCCCAGCACUCUGGGAGGCCAAAGUGGGAGGAUUACUUGAGCCCAUGAGUUCAAGACCAGCCUGGGAAACACAGUGGGA